rnacentral:lncRNA from 1 species
ACACGUAAAAGGAGCUCAUUCGGAGGCAGGGGCACGCGCUUGUCCCCAGAACUCAAACCCCAGAGUCCCUCCGGCAGAUGAGAGUGGAGGUUGUAAAUCACCCUCCAUGCAAUGGUUCAUCAUAAAGGAUAUGGAGCAAAAUUAGAGGAGGCACGAGAAGGAAAGCCGGUGAUGAACAAGGAAAGUGCCUGGUUGAAGCUAGCUUGCAAUCCCAAAGUCAGAAGGUUGCCUGGGAAGCCAUGAAACAAAGCCAAAUCAAGGCAAAGCAGACACAUGGAGAUUUUGAGACUGAGAAGAGGAAAACUGAGGACAUUCAUGUGAGAUGGUUUCAAGUUUCCCUUAGAAGGAGAAGUUAUCUUCAGAAGGUCAGGUUGGUGAGGUGGGAGUUCAAAAACAACAAAGUAUGUAGCUACCAUUGUGAGGAAGACCAUGGAAAAUGGACGAAUCAGAAUGAAAGGCUUUCUGAACAAGACCCAGAGACAGAAGCAGAUAAUGCAAGUGUCAUCUACAUCUGGCAAAAGCCAAAGGUUUGGAAGAUGGAAAAAGGAAUCCAGGCAAAAAGGAGCCCAAGAUUGAAGUGAAUGACCAGGUGCACCAGUUCAAAUGCAAUCAGGAGGGACAGGGGUAGAGGGAGAAGCCUAGAGCAGCGCUUCUCAAACUGACUAUUCAAGUCACCUGGAGAUCUUGGUGAAAUGCAGACUCUGGUGCAGUAGGUCCUGGCGGGAACUUGAAAUUCUGCAUUUUGACCAAGGUCCAAGGUGAAUGUCCAGUGCUGUUGUCCUUGGCCUGCAGCAGGAGGAGCAGGGAUCUAAGACUUGGAGAGCAAAUGUCAAGCUCAGAAGAAAGACUGGAAGUUUGGGGACAAAACCCAAAUAUGGCUAAAGAAAGCCUGUAGGAUGAAGUUGGAAGUUCCAGAGCCUUCUCUUCACAUAAUGGGACAUGCAAGGGGGAAACCAAAUCAAAAGUGUAGAAUGCGUCGCUGGAUGUCUUUGACAUGUUAUUGUUCUGAUAGAAUAUCAGCGGGGAGCUACUGAGGACCUCCUCACUACCCUCCCUUGGAAGAGUUUGUCUGCAAUGGAGCCAACACAGUGGAAAGCAGAGCUGAGAAAUGGACAAACAACUCCUGAUGCCUCAUUUGAGCACCUGGAUUUAGCCAUGUCUGAAGCUAUUAAUCUUCCCCACCAAGUUAGAACCUGUGUCAUGUUCCUCUGAACUGUGUUUGUCCCCUUCGGGGGACCCCACAUGCUACGGACACCUGAUGAUUCGACCUGUUCACCAUCCCUUCAGCCCUGAACUGGCAACAGUAUCCUCAUUAUUCAUGAGAAAACGAUUCCUCCUCCCUUCCCAGACCAUGAGGAUUGAGUGGAAUUCACUCCAUCCUUCUCAGCUCCCUGACUGAACCAGCCCCUGUGGGAAGAGAAAGCCCCCAGGCUGAGAAUCAACUGAGCUGCAUUGAGGAGCCCCAGGUGUGUGUCCAGGAAUGCCAAGUGCAGAAGGGCUAUGCACGGGGCACCAUCAUGACCUGCUGCAGAGACCGUCCCUGAGAACAGAGGAGCAGAGAGAGAGAAGAGCAAGAGAUGGGCAAGGACAGAGUCACAAUCCCAGUGUCUGGCCCCUGCCUCCGGCCUUGUCUCAGCUAGCUCUGUCACUGGACUUUCAUUUGUCUGGGACCAAUAUCUCUCUUCCUUCCUAAAGAUGACUGCAGACUGGUUUCUGCCCUGUGUAAUGAAAAGAUCAUGAUGUGCACAGCUUUUUACCCCAUCUUAAGAAUAUUUGAGCACUUAUCUCCAUAGAGGGCAGAAUCUGUAAUGAAUUUACUUUUCAGUCCUCCAUAACACCUGUCGCAAGGUUUGUACAGUUUUCAAGAAAUACUGGGUAGAUGAAUGAAUGGAUACUGAAAAGACCCACUAAAAUUUAAUGCAAAUCUGUAACAACAGAUGCCCAUUUAAGGCACAUGGCAGAGGGCAAGGUGGCAUAGGGAGAAAGCAGUU